AGGGCUUGGCAUCCCCUGACAGCAGUGGAAACAUUGUGUUCUGCCUUCGGGUGGACAGGGAGAC
rnacentral:rRNA from 1 species